AUUUCAUACAGAGAGAGAGAGAGAGAGAGAGAGAGAGAGAGAGAGAAAUGGGGAAAGCACUAGGACCGACCGGCGAGUUCUUCCGGCGAAGAGACGAGUGGAGGAAACAUCCGAUGCUAACCAAUCAGUUCCGUCACGCCACUCCUGGCCUCGGAAUCGCCGUCGUUGCGUUUGGCAUCUACGUCGCCGGUGAAAUCGCCUACAAUAAGAUCUACGCUCCUUCUCACACAUCUCCUCGCUCUCACUGACGCUUCUUCAUAUGAUCAGGCUGCGGAGAAGGAUAUGCCAGAUUGUUUCUUACACCUUUUUUAAUUGCUUGCCCCUUGAAUAAAUUCAUCUUUAGUAGAAGGCUUCAUGCAUUUGCAAUUGUCUUCCCUUGUAAGAUACUUUGAUUGUCCUCCCGUUUUAAGGGUAAAUGUUGAACUAUAUUCAUUUAGUCAGGGCCGGUUCAACCUUUUUGGGGUAUAAAAUUCCGUGGCUGUUUUCUAGUUUCCUUGUUUUAUCUGUGUUUGGAACUGGCGUAAUAAAUAAAAAAGUUUAUAUUUGCGUCAUUUA
rnacentral:lncRNA from 1 species